AAACAAAAAUGCACUCCGCUGGGCGUUGGCUAAGGAGGAUUAUGGCAUAAUAAUUGGGACUAUGUUUAGACGGUUCAGAAGACAAGAGUGCCUCGAGUCUUCGGAUCAUACCGCAAUACACUUCAAUCCGUUCCAUCACAACACCCAUCAUUUUGGACCAAUUCAAAAAGCUUUGGUGGCGCUGAACAACCGUUAGUUUGUUGUUACAUUUCUUGAAGAACAAAGGCGUAG